rnacentral:rRNA from 1 species
GACUACUGGGGUAUCUAAUCCUGUUUGCUCCCCACGCUUUCGCGCCUCAGCGUCAGUUACAGUCCAGAAAGUCGCCUUCGCCACUGGUGUUCCUCCACAUAUCUACGCAUUUCACCGCUACACGUGGAAUUCCACUUUCCUCUCCUGUCCUCAAGAUAACCAGUUUCCGAUGCACUCUCAGGGUUGAGCCCUGAUAUUUCACACCGGACUUAAUUAUCCGCCUACGCGCCCUUUACGCCCAAUAAUUCCGGACAACGCUUGCCCCCUACGUAUUACCGCGGCUGCUGGCACGUAGUUAGCCGGGGCUUCCUCCUUGGGUACCGUCACUUGUACUCAAUAUUCUCAAGUACACCGUUCUUCCCCAAAGACAGUACUUUACAAUCCGAAAACCUUCAUCAUACACGCGGCGUUGCUCCGUCAGACUUUCGUCCAUUGCGGAAGAUUCCCCACUGCAGCCCCCCGUAGG